CGAGGAUGUGCAGUUGUACUCGGUGC
rnacentral:piRNA from 1 species